GUAGUUGAACCUUGGGCCUGGCUGGCCGGUCCGCCUCACCGCGUGUACUGGUCCGGCCGGGCCUUUCCCUCUGUGGAACCCCAUGCCCUUCACUGGGCGUGGCGGGGAAACAGGACUUUUACUGUGAAAAAAUUAGAGUGCUCCAGGCAGGCCUAUGCUCGAAUACAUUAGCAUGGAAUAAUAGAAUAGGACGUGUGGUUCUAUUUUGUUGGUUUCUAGGACCGCCGUAAUGAUUAAUAGGGACAGUCGGGGGCAUCAGUAUUCAAUUGUCAGAGGUGAAAUUCUUGGAUUUAUUGAAGACUAACUACUGCGAAAGCAUUUGCCAAGGAUGUUUUCAUUAAUCAGGAACGAAAGUUAGGGGAUCGAAGACGAUCAGAUACCGUCGUAGUCUUAACCAUAAACUAUGCCGACUAGGGAUCGGACGGUGUUAUUUUUUGACCCGUUCGGCACCUUACGAGAAAUCAAAGUGCUUGGGCUCCAGGGGGAGUAUGGUCGCAAGGCUGAAACUUAAAGAAAUUGACGGAAGGGCACCACCAGGGGUGGAGCCUGCGGCUUAAUUUGACUCAACACGGGGAAACUCACCAGGUCCAGACACAAUAAGGAUU
rnacentral:rRNA from 1 species